AGAGUUUGAUCAUGGCUCAGGACGAACGCUGGCGGCGUGCCUAACACAUGCAAGUCGAACGGAGUAAGUAGCAAUACUUACUUAGUGGCGAACGGGUGAGUAACGCGUAGACAACCUGCCUCUAAAUUGGGGACAACACCGCGAAAGUGGCGCUAAUACCGAAUGUGGUAUCUCGGUUGCAUAACCGAGAUAAGAAAGAUGGCCUCUAUAUAUAAGCUAUCGUUUAGAGAUGGGUCUGCGUCUGAUUAGCUAGUUGGUGAGGUAAUGGCUCACCAAGGCGACGAUCAGUAGCCGGUCUGAGAGGAUGAACGGCCACACUGGGACUGAGACACGGCCCAGACUCCUACGGGAGGCAGCAGUGGGGAAUCUUCCGCAAUGGACGAAAGUCUGACGGAGCAACGCCGCGUGAGUGAAGAAGGCCUUCGGGUCGUAAAGCUCUGUCGUUUGGGACGAACGUGUUCUGUGUGAAUAAUGCAGAAUAAUGACGGUACCAAAGGAGGAAGCCACGGCUAACUACGUGCCAGCAGCCGCGGUA
rnacentral:rRNA from 1 species